rnacentral:rRNA from 1 species
GACGUAGGGUGCAAGCGUUAUCCGGAUUUACUGGGCGUAAAGAGCGCGUAGGCGGCUCGUUAAGUGUGAAGUGAAAUCUUCGGGCUCAACCCGAAAACUGCUUCGCAUACUGGCGAGCUUGAGGGGCACAGAGGCAACUGGAAUUCCUGGUGAAGCGGUGAAAUGCGUAGAUAUCAGGAGGAACUCCCAUGGCGAAGGCAGGUUGCUGGGUGCCAUCUGACGCUGAGGCGCGAAAGCCGUGGGUAGCAAACAGG